rnacentral:rRNA from 1 species
GAUGGACGCUGGCGGCGUGCUUAACACAUGCAAGUCGAACGAGAAGUGAAGACGGAAACCUUCGGGCGGAAGGCUUUAUUUCGAGUGGCGGACGGGUGAGUAACGCGUGGGUAACCUGCCUCAUACAGGGGGAUAACAGUUGGAAACGACUGUUAAUACCGCAUAAGACCACAGCACCGCAUGGUGCGGGGGUAAAAACUCCGGUGGUAUGAGAUGGACCCGCGUUCGAUUAGCCAGUUGGCGGGGUAACGGCCCACCAAAGCGACGAUCGAUAGCCGAUCUGAGAGGAUGACCGGCCACAUUGGGACUGAGACACGGCCCAAACUCCUACGGGAGGCAGCAGUGGGGAAUAUUGCACAAUGGGGGAAACCCUGAUGCAGCGACGCCGCGUGAGUGAAGAAGUAUUUCGGUAUGUAAAGCUCUAUCAGCAGGGAAGAAAAUGACGGUACCUGAGUAAGAAGCCCCGGCUAACUACGUG